ACAAAUUGGACUCAAAACACAAAGAGAGAGAGAAAACAUUCCAAUCUAGGACUGGAGGAGGGCAUUGCUAUCUAAUACAUUACAUCUUUGAGUCCUGCACUCUCAUCUCUCUGUCUCUCUGCCUCAGACAGUCUGGCUAUUACCUUGACCAAGUCCCUUACGUUGGUGGCCAGCGGGACGUCGGCCGCAGCUGGGGCCCUCUCCAGCCCGAUGUUGGAGCAGUUGACGACGCAGGAUGGCUGGGGCCCCGCCAGCGCGCAGCUGCAGUUAACGGGACAGGGGCUGCAACUCCUGCCGCCGUCCCCUUGCGGCCCGGAGCCCCAUGCCUCCAGGCAGCAGAGCGCCACAAGCAGACUGGAAAAGAAGCUAAACCUCGGGAAGCAGACGCCAUGUUUUCGCUUGGAUAAAGUCUGUCCAUUUCCACAAGGCAUAGCUCACUCACAUCUCAUCGCCUCUGAUGGUGCAAGUCCUCUCAGUCUGUAUUUCCUGAAGCAGUGCAGGGCACGUGUUGGAGGUGUUUCCUGGGUAUUUGACUUGGCCGGGGCCCAGCCAUCCUCCCUGCUGGCGGCUGGUGCUCUGUACAAAGAAAAGAAGAGUUCCACAAUAACUCUUGUACUUUCUCAUCCUCAUUGGCAGCAUUUCAUUUUCAUAUUUGAAGCAAAAUAUGUGUGAAUGGAAGAGUGGAUGGACCAAAUGUGAAAAUUUUGAAAAGUACAUAGAAAAAGAUAGCGAUAGACAUCACAGAGAAAAUUAUAGUGACUAUUCAUAGUGGCUUAAACAUCUGUGUCCCUUAAUCAGUAUAAAAAAAUGAUAAAACACGACACCCUAAAAUAUUUCCUAAGAAAAUUAAAGAGUCAAACACUGCCAAUGAGUUGUACUUUGAUGUCAUGAGGCAGUGCGUCCUGUAGAGUGGACAUUUCAUUUUGGGAUGACACUCUUCAUUUGGUGGCAGGUGUUUGAGAAUGAAGCUUUACACACUUUCCUACCAGAGAAUCUUAUCUCAUGGUGGAAGUGACACAUCUCUAAAAGAUACAGAGGCCUUUUACACAGGGAGAUUUUUGGGGCUUUUACAGUUAACAGGGAAAAGGAGGGAGGGAAGUGACACAAAGGUUGAGACAAUCCAUGUCAAGUUUAAUUGCAUGAUGCAUAAUUACAGUUAGAGUCUCAAAGGGCUUCACAAGCCCACAUUAUUAAUAGACACAAUAUAACUCAUCACAUUCAAGCACAGAGAAAAGGGUGUUGACCACUGAGUCACCAGAGUGCUCCCUAAAAAUAGACACAGUGAUUUUCUUUUAUUAUGUUCAGGUUGGUAAGAUUUUGUUGAAUUGAAUAAAAUCAUCUGCCUAUUAAGUUAAUUUGACAAAAUUCUGCUCUUCAAAUGACAGACUCUGAACAAAAUAAAACAAACAAUAUACAAUUAUAUAUGUUAGGUUAACGUUAACAUGCAAACAUGCUAACAAUAAACCUGAUAACAUACUGAUGUGUAAAAGCGCUUAGGACAUACUGUUAAUCAUGUAUAAUGCAGGUAUACGUUCUCUAUCGCAGUGUGACAGCAUUAUUUGCUAAUUCACACUAACGCAACGUACAGUGAAAGUGAAGUUGUACUGAAAUGACUGUAGUUCUGCUGGUAUUUCGUCAUAAACCAAAGUAUAGAACAAAUUAAAAUUACGACUAGAUGAUGGUGCUACUGUAGAUGAAAAGGGAAUGGACCAAAGUUAUUAAAGUUCAUCCUUAGAGGGGCAUACAUAUUCCAAAUUUCACGGCAAUUCAUCCAUCAAUACAUUUCACUCAAAUGUCAACCUUAU